GACGAACGCUGGCGGCGUGCUUAACGCAUGCAAGUCGAACGGAAAGGCCCUGCUUUUGUGGGGUGCUGGAGUGGCGAACGGGUGAGUAACACGUGAGUAACCUGCCCUUGACUUUGGGAUAACUUCAGGAAACUGGGGCUAAUACCGGAUAGGAGCUCCUGCUGCAUGGUGGGGGUUGGAAAGUUUCGGCGGUUGGGGAUGGACUCGCGGCUUAUCAGCUUGUUGGUGGGGUAGUGGCUUACCAAGGCUUUGACGGGUAGCCGGCCUGAGAGGGUGACCGGCCACAUUGGGACUGAGAUACGGCCCAGACUCCUACGGGAGGCAGCAGUGGGGAAUAUUGCACAAUGGGCGGAAGCCUGAUGCAGCAACGCCGCGUGCGGGAUGACGGCCUUCGGGUUGUAAACCGCUUUCGCCUGUGACGAAGCGUGAGUGACGGUAAUGGGUAAAGAAGCACCGGCUAACUACGUG
rnacentral:rRNA from 1 species